rnacentral:lncRNA from 1 species
UAAUUGAUGGACGUAAAUUGAAUAAUUGAACCUAAGUUGGUUACGAUUCGUGGUUAGGUGAAAAUGUGAAUUGACGAUCCGACCGUUGGAUCGUCAUCAAACUUUGAUACGUUGUAAUACGUAAUAUUUGAGGAUUAUAGGAACUUACGGAUUGGGAAUCCGAUUUACGGAUCUUCCGGAAUUGAAGUUGUAAGUUCAUAAAAUAGAAUGUUAACCGUCACUUAGUUUUGGAAAUUGACGGAGAUCCGACCGUUGGAUGGUAAUGAAAUUUUAGGAUGUUGUCCUAGAGGUAUAUUGUGGACCUCUGGAAGUUAUGGAUUUGAAAUCUGAAUUGCAGAUCAUCCGGAUCGAACUACGUAGUGACGUGUCUUAUAUAAGUUAUGUAUUCUAUCGGCAGAAUUUCUGAGGUUGGAUUUGAUUGUUGUUCUAGGCGCUAAUCGUCAUGACGCCUUGAUGUACGGUGCUAGGGAGUUGUGGGCGAACUCCAGGUGAGUGGGCAGUUUUGUUUUUGUAUUACCUUUAUACUAUUGAUUUUUCCCAGAAAAUGAAUUUAUAUGAAGAUAUGCUUUAAAAAUGCCAUGCAUAGAAUUAUUUGGAAAAUGUGAAUUUCAUAUGAGUUAUAUGAUUGAUAUAUGAUGCAUACAUGUUACAUGGUGCUGUGGAGGCACAGGUAAGUCAGGUGAGUUCAUUUAUUCAUUGAAUUGUUGUUGUUGAGAUGUUUUGAGCUCAUAACCUGCACCCUAGGUGUUAGUGCUUAUAUUAUUCACCACACCGCACGCUCGCCUUGGAUCCAAGUAGGUGGAUGUCGUACAGACCAUGUGAGGGUUCCGACAUGCCAGUCGUACAGACCAUUAGAGGGGUUCCGACUGGUGGGUGACCUUAGAUAUGCGCGCUGAUGAUAUGAUGAGAGAAGCACUAGAGCGUAUUUUACACCUUUCAUCGUAUAGACUACCUUACGUAGUUCCGAGUGAUGUGCAGAGUAAGGCCGUAUAGGUCACUGUGGUGACUCCGGCUUAGUGAGAUAUUGAGCUAUUGAAUUAAUCGUAUAGGACCAACUGCAGGGUCUCCGAUUGAUUCCUUAUUUCACCUGAUUUAUAUUUUGAUUUAUGGCAUGGCAUGUUUUUCUCGAAAAAUGUUAAAGAUUUGGGAUUCAAGCUUUGAGAUUUCAUAUGGUUAUAUAUUUCUGAAAAGUGUUAAAGGUUUGAGAUUUGAGAUUUUUGCUUAUAUAUAUGUUUAUAUAUAUGCUAUUUUCUGGGAAAGUAUACAGGUUUUACGGUGAGGGGUUAGAAAUGUUUUAAAUGAAAAGUUUUCGAAAAACUUUGUUUUAC